UUGUGAUCUGGACACACACAACCAACAUUAGCUAAGGAAACACCCAUUUUCUAUUUAACCAGAAGGAGGAUGAAGCUGCUGCUAACAUUUCAAUAACAUGUAAGAUUCAUAACUGUCAUUAUCUCAAGUGAAAUCAGACUGAAUUUAGUGGGGGGACGGACUGACUGAUGAACUUAAGUUCUGGACAGUUCUAUUCACAAUAGUAGAGGUUCAGAUACCCAACACAUCUCUGCAGGGACAUUUUAAUGAAUAAUUCUAUACACCAAAUUUAUCUUCUUGUGGACCAUAUAUUUGGGUAGGAAGACAUCAUACUUCUCACCCCGCUCCUUUAAUAAAACUUACUGUGCCCCUUUCCACAAAAGGGAGAGCUUCCAAAAAAACUGUUAGCUGACAGUUACUACUAUGAAUGAAGAGCUUCAACUGCUGUUUACUCUAAUCCCCCAGGAAAAUUACAUCAAAAAUGGAUGUUUUAUGACAAAAUCACUCAUUUAUCUCAAAACCAGAACAAAUAGAAAACAACACUAUUCAGGGAGUUGAAGUACUUUUCUGAACACUACUGCAGAAACACAGAAACCCAGCAGAUUGCAGACAUGCAGGAGUCAGCACUGGAUAGGAAAGAAUUAACACAUCACACUCAGUACAACUUUAAUAACUGGAUUGAAAGUAGACUCUUAAUAAAACCAAAAUAUUCCUUCCUCAAGGCAACCAUUAGCUACAAAGGAAUAAUGAUUCAUAUCCUUGGUCCAUAAAGAAGACGCAUUUAUUUACAUUCUCAAUGGACCAAAAGAGGUUUUAAACUGUCACAAUUAAAAUUUUAUGCUUCCAAAAAUAUCAUAUCAUAAUGCAUUUAACUUAAAGCUUCAGGUAUUAAUAACUUCAUUUAGACUCCUUAAAAAACAAACACAAACAUACUUUCUAGAGUGCAAAAUGCUUCUUAUUAAAUACUCCAGUAACACAAAAGCAAUUUGUUUUUAAACACAGGAAUCCUUUUCUGAAGGAUCACCCCACAGAGACAUCCAUUGCCGGCAAUGGACGGGGAACAAGACUGCCAGCUCGGGGAAAACGCAACGUUAGAAUUUUGCGCUGGGUUUCUGCGCCUAUCCAGAUGACCCCACUCAUUUGUACAAACUCAUUGUUGGACUCUGGUACAUGCACAUGUACGCGUCAC